UACGGAGGGUGCAAGCGUUAAUCGGAAUUACUGGGCGUAAAGCGCGCGUAGGCGGUUUGUUAAGCUAGAUGUGAAAGCCCAGGGCUCAACCUUGGAACUGCAUUUAGAACUGGCAGACUUGAGUACAGCAGAGGAUAGUGGAAUUUCUAGUGUAGCGGUGAAAUGCGUAGAUAUUAGAAGGAACACCAGUGGCGAAGGCGACUGUCUGGGCUGAUACUGACGCUGAGGUGCGAAAGCGUGGGGAGCAAACAGG
rnacentral:rRNA from 1 species